AUUGAACGCUGGCGGCAUGCCUUACACAUGCAAGUCGAACGGUAACAGGUCUUCGGAUGCUGACGAGUGGCGAACGGGUGAGUAAUACAUCGGAACGUGCCCGAGAGUGGGGGAUAACGAGGCGAAAGCUUUGCUAAUACCGCAUACGAUCCCAGGAUGAAAGCAGGGGACCGCAAGGCCUUGCGCUCACGGAGCGGCCGAUGGCAGAUUAGGUAGUUGGUGGGAUAAAAGCUUACCAAGCCGACGAUCUGUAGCUGGUCUGAGAGGACGACCAGCCACACUGGGACUGAGACACGGCCCAGACUCCUACGGGAGGCAGCAGUGGGGAAUUUUGGACAAUGGGCGCAAGCCUGAUCCAGCCAUGCCGCGUGCAGGAUGAAGGCCUCCGGGUUGUAAACUGCUUUUGUACGGAACGAAAAGACUCCUUCUAAUAAAGGGGGUCCAUGACGGUACCGUAAGAAUAAGCACCGGCUAACUACGUGCCAGCCGCCGCGGUAAAAC
rnacentral:rRNA from 1 species